GGAGCCGUGGCCUACUGGUUAGGGCUUCAGAUUUGUAACCGGAGGGUUGCCGGUUCGAACUCCGACCAGUAGGA
rnacentral:tRNA from 1 species